GUGCUUCAUGCCGGAGCCUGAGCCUGCCUGGGAGAUGUGUGAUGAUGAUAGGCAUUCUGCUUGCCUGUUCCUGCAGAUCCUAACAAGAUGAUGUCUUCCUUAUCCACCUGCCUGUUUCACAUCCAGGCUGGGUGACAGCUGAUAGCCAGCAGCUUAGAGCAGGGAGCAGCCUAGCUGGUUUGAACUAGUUUAAAAUGACACAAGUAGCUUCCUUAUCACAUAUUUUGAUAGGUUCAUGGCUCCCAUAACAGAUACCCCGGGAAAAAUAUCUUUGGUAUAAUUUUAAAUGCUCAGCUCCCUCCUUGAAAAGCAUAUCAACCAUCUCAAUCUAAUUAAAUUCCAGAGAAGACUUCUGUUCUGACGCCCCCCGCCCUAGAACACUGAGCACUGGGUAACGCUAGCUCACUGGAAUUUGGUUUGUGUGUUGGUCUUGCCUAGACUAGAAGGUCUGUAUGUUCUGAAGUUCCUUGAUGACUGACAUUCUCUUCUUGCUCAAAAGAGCCUUCGCUUAAGCAUUGGCCUUUCACAUCUAUCUUCAUGCAGAGCGUACUUGACAAGGGGCACACAGCCCAGCCUGGAACAUGUAUUGACAAUGCCUUUAUUAAUGGGCUUUGUGCCUUUUCUCAUAAAAUGUCCAGGAAGCCUUCUUCUGCUUCUUUAUUGCCCUAGGGAGAAAUGACGGUGGAAAAAGCUCAAAUCCCGAAACUACAGACACCAAAGAGCUGGUGUUUUUUCAGACAGUGAGAAGCCCUUGCCUACCAAAGUGGAGAGGUGGCACGAAGGAGGGCUAAGGCCCUGGCCUAUUGCCCCACCUGGGCCCCAAGCCAACAGCCAGCCACAGCCAACCAACCUAGCAAGUGGGCCAUUGUGGAAAUGAGUCCUCCAGCCGCAGCUGAGCUCCCCCAGCUAAAGCCAUGUGGAGCAAAGCCCAGCAGAGAGCUUCGAUUCCUGGGCUCCAGGAGUCAUCAGAACUGCGCUGACGUCCUGGCUGCCACAGCCCAGCUGGGGGACCCAGGCACUAUUCACAAUAUCAAAGAUUUGGAGCCAACCCAAAUGCCCAUCAGUGAUAGACUGGAUAAAGAAAAUGUGGCAUAUAUACACCAUGGAAUACUAUGCAGCCAUAAAAAAGGAUGAGUUCACGCCCUUUGCAGUGACAUGGAUGAAGCUGGAAACCAUCAUUCUCAGCAAACUAACACAGGAACAGAAAACCAAACACCACACGUUCUCACUCAUAAAUGAGAGUUGAACAAUGAGAACACAUGGACACAGGGAGGAGAACAUCACACACCAGGGCCUGUCGGUGGGUGGAAGGCUAGGGGAGGGAUAGCAUUAGCAGAAAUACCUAAUGUAGAUGACGGGUUGAUGGGUGCAGCAAACCACCAUGGCACAUGUAUACCUAUGUAACAAAGCUGCACAUUCUGCAUAUAUAUCCCAGAACUUAAAGUAUAAUAAUAAAAAAAGAAUACCUUUCCAAUCCU
rnacentral:lncRNA from 1 species